AAUGAACGCUGGCGGCAUGCCUAACACAUGCAAGUCGAACGAGCUUUUCGGGUCUUGUGGCGAACGGUUGCGUAACGCGUGGGAACCUGCCUUUAGGUUCGGAAUAACUCAGAGAAAUUUGAGCUAAUAACGGAUGAUGUCUUCGGACCAAAGAUUUAUCGCCUUUAGAUGUACGCGCGUUGGAUUAGAUAGUUCGUGGGGUAAAGGCCUACCAAGGCGACGAUCCGUAGCUGGUUUGAGAGGAUGGUCAACCACACUAGGAGUGGGACACGGCCGGGACUCCUACGGAAGGCAGCAAUUGGGAAUAGUGGACAACGGGCGAAAGCCUGAUCCAUCAAGGCCGCGUGAGUGUUGUAGGCCGUAAGGAUGAAAAGCGUUUUUACCCGAGAUUAUAUUGACGGUAUCUAAAGAGAAAGCCCCGGCUAACUCCGUG
rnacentral:rRNA from 1 species